UGUUUCCCCUCGCCCCGACCGGGUCAAAAAAAAGGGCCCGGGUCAAAAGUUUUUUUGCCAAAAAAUUGCGAUGUUUUUUUUUUUUAUUUCCGUAAAAAAAUCGUGUCCGCUCCGUGUCGGUUCUAGACGUUACUUCUGCUUUUUUCGGAAGUUACCGGGAUUUAUCGAUACUUGAAAAAAUGGGUGACAGAAUACACCUAUCAACACUUCGCCACGAGUUACGUCCCUUUGCGGGGUCAGCCAAAGGUCAAUCGGUGAAAAACCAAGUUUUCAUUCUUUACCUUACCAAAUGUAAGAUGUUAUUACUUUGAAUUUUAGCCAAUUACCAAGUUUUCAUACAAGUUAAUGGGUUGCCCCAAUCUGGGGCAUAUUGUAGUUGACUGCAAUUGAUGGAAAAAUAACAGAUGUCAAAGCUACAGAUAGGAAAAUUACAAAGGCCAACGUAGGGAAAUACGAUUUUUAUCCGGGAGAUGGCGGACAAGGGACGUAACUUUCGCGAAGUGUUGAUACGUGUAUAGCGUUGUCGUCUACUGUAAAGAUAAAAUACAAACACACAUCUAAAGUUGUGCCCAUAAUAGUCAACAGACUCUACAGUUUCUCCAAACACUGUACAUGGAAUGAGGUUUUGAAUGAUUUGACGGCGACCAUAACAUAGACAAGUUGGACGAAGUAACUGUCACCGUGUCGGACAAACUUGCCAACGGUGUAACUUUUGAGCCAGAUUUUGAAGAACAGAUACAAGUGGUUCACAACUUUGAUAAAAAAUUGAAAUAUGUACAAUUUGACGUGAUAAGAGACUUAGAACCAAAUAACAAUGUACCAAAAGGUCAAAAUCCUCCUACAUGUCCUACAGCUUUCGAUGUUUUGAUGAGAAAGUCCAGCACACUGACAAAGCUCCCUCAAAAGAUUGAUGAAGCCUCUCCCAGAUUUACAGGUAAUUUAUAUGCAUUAUUAUAUUUCUAUCAAGUAGGUUUGAGAUGGUGUAUGGCUCAUGUCUUAAAGUUAUAAAUGAGUCUGUCCCACACCAUUUCAUUUCUUUCUUCAAUGUUCCCAAACUUUUGGUCUGGGGAAAUUUAUGGUAGGGGGUGUAAAAACGGUAAAUUCCUAGGGGAAGUGCUGCCCAAAUUUUUUUCAACAUUGGACUUUGUCAUUUUUUCACAUUUUAAAGGGUCGCAGCUAUACAUUUGUGAGGGGGUGGACAGGGGUGUCUCCAAUUCCCUCGAGAUUUAAGAGCCUUGAAGCACACAACAGAUAAAUAUGACUACACUUGCGGGGCAAUUUUAGCACCAGAAGGGGAUGUUCUACAUGGAAAAGUUUUCACAAGACUCCAGCUUGCAUGUACCAGUCACAUUGAAUUUGCAUACUACAGCUCGGAUGUUGGCCGCAAAGACAUAUGUGCAUAUUGUGUUGCAACAGAGAUCCAAAAGGACAAGGACUUGUGCAAAAACUUUAAAGUUGUGCUGCCAGUUUGUGACUUGUGUCGUUCAAAAAAAUUGGAAGUCCCAAAGAGAAAUCCAAUUAAGAAAUAGUUAAUUCUAGUCUGACAAUCAGUUAAUUCUAGUCUGAUAUUCAUCCUCUCUAAGUCAUUCUUUUUAACAUGUUGUUUAUGAUUUUUGUUUCUACUUGUUUCUAGUCAAGAAUAAAUGUUUUUUGUUUAUUUUCA